GUCCACGCCGUAAACGAUGGGCACUAGAUCCUUGGGGGAGCGACCCCGUGAGGGUCGGCGCUAACGCAUUAAGUGCCCCGCCUGGGGAGUACGGCCGCAAGGCUGAAACUCAAAGGAAUUGACGGGGCCCGCACAAGCGGUGGAGCAUGUGGUUUUAAUUCGACGCAACGCGAAGAACCUUACCUGGGCUUGACAUGCACGGGGACCUCUAGGAACCUGGGGGCUCUUCGGAGCCCGUGCACAGGUGCUGCAUGGCUGUCGU
rnacentral:rRNA from 1 species